rnacentral:rRNA from 1 species
UCUGAACUAUGUUUUAUAAAGUUCUGGGUAGAUAGAUGAUUUUGACAAUUUCUACCCAUUAGUCUUGACCAAGUCACGUGCCAGCAGUCGCGGUAAUACGUGGAAGACAAGUGUUAUUCAUCUUUAUUGGGUUUAAAGGGUACCUAGACGGCCGAUAAAGCCUAAAUAUAAAAAUUAGAGGGACUAAUUGGCUAGAGUUUUAUGUGAGGAGGAUAGGGUACCAAGAGCGUAGAGAUGAAAUUCAAUGAUCCCUUUCAGGAACCGANNNNGUAUGUUGUUUAAUUUGAUGAUCCACGGAAAACCUUACCACUACUUGAAUGUUUAUAUAUAAUAUAUAUUUAUACAGGAGUUGCACGGCUGUCUUCAGUUGAUGUCGUGAGAUUUUGGUUAGUUCCAUUAAAUCAACGUAAGCCCUCACUUUAUUUUUUAUAUAAAGUAGCUCACCGCUAUAUUGGAUGUGAUA